GCAAGCUGCAUACUUAGUAAAGGGGACAAAAAUAUCAUUUGUCAUGAUCCCUAGCGACUCCGAACCCAGCAAACCCGUCGCCGCCGGAGAGAUCCUGCAAGCCGGUGAGCUCUGCCGCCUUUAGAUUCCCUCAAUCGGCCGUGGUAAUCACUGUUGCAGUCAACCUCCAUUCGUCUCCUUUCGGUGAUCUCAAACGGCCGCCUUGAUCAAUUACUGCCCAACAAUCAUGAUCUGCUACGCCGUCAGUGGAAGAGAGGGAGAGGAGCCAGCCGGCGGGCCAAGGAAUCCAUGGGGCAGUCGGAUGAGG